rnacentral:rRNA from 1 species
GUCUAUGGCCACACCACCCUGAACGCGCCCGAUCUCGUCUGAUCUCGGAAGCUAAGCAGCGUCGGGCCUGGUUAGUACUUGGAUGGGAGAAUCUGCUAUGCAAUUCUGGGAGACUUGUGUG